UUAUCUUUUCCAUGAACAUUUAUUUGACUGGACCCAGGGUGUACGGAAAGAGACCUUAAUAAAAUAAUGGUUCUGAUUGGUUGCUCAAGUGACUUCCUUAGAGGUAAUCGAGUGUGUUAACUUCAUCUGCUUGUCUCGCUACUGGUGAUGUUUCCUAUCAUUUACUUUCUUGGUUUUUGGUUCCCAAUCCCUUUGUCUGAUAUCCUUGGCUGACAAUCUAUAAAUACUGAUUCCUGCUUCUGGACAUGAAAAAAAACAUGGGAGGCUCAGCUGAGGCAUCAUGGCGAAAAGAUUUGAGAAAUUUCAGAUUGAUGCUCUCAACUUGGCUUUUGAAGAGUCGGAUCACUUGACAAAAGAGAAGAAGAUUGAGCUGAUGAGGGCUACAGGACUGGAUAUGGAGCAAAUAACUAGUUGGUUCAAUCGGAGAAGGUCCCAGAAACGUGCCAGGGAGUCUAGAGGUGACUUGGAAAGAACCAAUGCUGAGCUCCAACAAGCUCUGCAGGAGAGCAAAGAGAGGGAGGCCAGGCUCCAACAGGAGCUUGAAGAGAGCAGGAGAAGGGAAGUUGAGCUUGGUGCUGUAAUCCAUCAUUUAAGACAGCAACUAGGAGUUGUAGAAGCUGAUUCAGGCAUUGAUCCGGAUCUAAGGUUUGUGAAUGAACAUACAAGAACUUAAGUUUGUAAUAGAACUGGAUUUAUUGUCAUAAUCCAAACUUUCUGACAAAAUCGAUCGACCGAAACCACAGUCAUGAGCAAAUGCAUAAAUAUACUCCUGAAAGAUAAGUGGAUAUUGGAAGUCGUGUAAGAAGUUGGUGACCUUAUGACAGGGGAGCCGGUGAUCGAAGCCCCAGUGAAUGGCGUCUUCUUCAAAUAAGCUCUUGCCUCCUCUUUCAAAGGGUUUUUAGUUCCCCAUUAUCUGAUAAAACUUGAUUUAAGAUGGAGGUGGUAGGAACCUGAUUAGCUACGCCGUAUAUGUCGGCUGCUGGUGCUGGCUGGCAGCAGAAGGGACAUCAAGAAUGGUGACGGGGUUUUUAGUUUGGCUUGGUAAGGUUUUAUAUUACGCUUCCGAAAGGUCAAUUUGAUGACAUACGAAGAAUGUUAUUGUUUACUCUUUUUGCUCCAAGAAUCAAAUGUUUCCAUCAAUUUCAGAAUUCUAUAGUUUAUGUAUAGUUGGAGAAGAUCUGCACAGAUCUGAAAAAGAGUAUACGUAUAAACAUCCUAUAAGUGUAAGAAAAUGAAGC